rnacentral:rRNA from 1 species
GACGUAGGGCGCAAGCGUUGUCCGGAUUUAUUGGGCGUAAAGAGCUCGUAGGCGGCUUGUCGCGUCGUCCGUGAAAACCUGCAGCUUAACUGUGGGCGUGCGGUCGAUACGGGCAUCACUGGAGUUCGGCAGGGGAGACUGGAAUUCCUGGUGUAGCGGUGAAAUGCGCAGAUAUCAGGAGGAACACCAAUUGCGAAGGCAGCUCGCUGGGACGUAACUGACGCUGAGACGCGAAAGCGUGGGGAGCAAACAGG